rnacentral:rRNA from 1 species
GAUGAACGCUGGCGGCGUGCCUAAUACAUGCAAGUCGAGCGAACAGACGAGGAUCUUGCUCCUCUGACGUUAGCGGCGGACGUGUGAGUAACACGUGGAUAACCUACCUAUAAGACUGGUAUAACUUCGGGAAACCGGAGCUAAUACCGGAUAAUAUAUUGAACCGCAUGGUUCAAUAGUGAAAUACGGUUUUUCUGUCACUUAUAGAUGGAUCCGCGCCGCAUUAGCUAGUUGGUAAGGUAACGGCUUACCAAGGCAACGAUGCGUAGCCGACCUGAGAGGGUGAUCGGCCACACUGGAAGUGAGACACGGUCCAGACUCCUACGGGAGGCAGCAGUAGGGAAUAUUCCGCAAUGGGCGAAAGCAUGACGGAGCAACGCCGCGUGAGUGAUGAAGGUCUGAGGAUCGUAAAACUCUGUUAUUAGGGAAGAACAAAUGUGUAAGUAAAUAUGCACGUAGUGACGGUAACUAAACAGAAAGCAACGGCUAACUACGUG